GUACCCGAGGCCGGGCCGGAGCCGCAGGCCAGCCGCGAUUCCUUCGGGCGAUGCUGGGGGCUUUCCGGUCGGGGCCGCAGCCGCUUCCGGAGCCGCGGGCGAGGUGCGUUCCCCAGCCUGGUUUGCUCUGGGCUCUGACCCGCCGCCGCGAAUCUCCGCUCGUAACUCCGGGCCUGAACCUGGAGGAGGGAGGAUUUCCUCUGUGCAGCUUUCGAGCGGUAGACUCACCCUGCCAGGCAGACCUAGAUUGGCAUAACCAGAGAUCAGUUCCAGUUGUGAUGCAGUGGGUGUCUACACACUUCUGAUGACACCUUUAUUUUAAAAGCUGAUGUUCCAAGAUUUUUAGGGCAGUUUUUAGUGUCAUUAUGUUGCUGCUACAUAUUUGGAAGAUGGAACAAGCCCAGACAAAGGAGGAUUCUUUUUUACUCAUCUUAAAUCCAUUUUAUUUUCCUUCAUCUGAGCCCCUUAAAACUAAUGUGUUACUGGAAUGGAUUUUCUUCUGUGUAUUGCUGACACGAACAGGAGACGGAAAUACUGAGUAGAAGAGGGCGGUUCCCUGGCUAAGGCCCCACCCUCAAGCCUGGAUACCCGCGGCCCUAAAUGAGAAGAGGCGUUUCUGUUUGGGGCCCAAAAAGUUGCUUUUUGACCCACCACGCCCCCUAUCCUGCCCCCAUAUAAA
rnacentral:lncRNA from 10 species